rnacentral:lncRNA from 1 species
CCCGCGCCGCCCCCGCGCCGCCCCGAGCCCCCACCUCCCGAGCGGCCGGCCCGCCGGCGGGCCCUCCGCAAACUUUGGCUCAUCCCUUGAAUUGACCUCGGCGGGGGGGAGGGUCGGGAAGACCUUCCGGGCCCCCCCCCCGUCGAACCCCGCCCCCGGCCCCCCCCCGCUGCGGCCUUGACCCGACCCCCCCUCCCCCCCCCGGCCGACCCCCGGGGGGUCCGGGGGACCCCGGGGGCCCGUCCCGGUUCCCGUUGGGUCCUUCCGUGCCCGCACCCCCGUGCUGCCCUAAGGGGGACCGAGGGAGAGGUUGGCACCGUCGGGGGGGGGGGGGGGCGCCCCUUUGCCCCCCCCCUUUGGGUGACCCGUCCGUCCCCCCUCGGCGACCCGUCCGUCUCCCCUCGAUGACCCGUCCGUUUUCCCCGAGUGACCCGCUGCUCUCCGUCCCCGUCCAGGUACCGGUUCCGGCGGACGCCGCCCGGCCGGCCGAGGAGCCCCCCCCCCCCCCCUGCCGCCCGGCCGGUAGGGCCGGCCUCCGCCUCCGUCUUUCACCCUCCGUCGCCGGCGACGUCCUCCUCCUCCUCCUCCUGGUCCUCGGCCUCCAUCUCCUCGGCCUCGACGCCCUCCUCUGCAGGCCCCCGGCCGGGCCGGGGGAGGACGGAGAUGGGCCGACCGGUCCCGGAGGUGGCAGCCCGUCCGUCGCCCCUCCCCGCCCCGGGCCGGCUCGGGCAGGGGGUGGGGCAGGUCGAGCCCGGGGAGGGGCUUCCGUAGGUCGGCGGCUCGAGGCGGGGGGCUCAAGGCAGGGUCGGGGAGGCCCCCCGCGCCCCGGGAGGACAGGGCUCCGUCCUCCCUCGUCGGCACGGCGGAAAGAGUAAGCGACGGCGGUGAUGGGAGUAACAGGAGAGAAGCGGCACGGCCCAGCGGCCAGAGCCCGGGCCUGGGAGGCCGAAGGUCACGGGUUCUGAUCCCGCCUCCGCCGCCCGUCCGCCGUGUGAUCUCGGGCGAGUCACUCGGCUUCUCCGGGCUUCGUCUCCCUCACCUGUCGAAGGGGGGUGAAGACCGUGAGCCCCGCGGGGGACGACCCGACGACCUUGUGACUACAGCAGCGCUUAGAACAGUGUUGGGCACGGAGUAGGCGCUCAACUAAAACCAUGUUACCGAGCAGAGGAACAGCCCGGCCUGGGAGUCAGAGCUCCGCCGCUUGUCCGCUGGGGCAAGUCGCUUGACUUCUCUGGGCUCUGACAGUUCCCUCAGCUGUAAGAAAUGGGGACGGAGACUACGAGCCCCCCGUGGGACGGGGACCGCGUCCAUCCUGAUUAGCUCGCAUCUACCUCGGCGCUUAGAACAGUGCUCGGCACACGGUAAGCGCUUAGCGAGUAUUAUCGUUAGUACCGACGGUGCUCGGCAGUCCAGUGCCGUUUUAGAAAACUAAUCUCGGUUGCCGUUCCCGGGCUCGGUGUCUGAAAGGGUUCCGGGGGAAGGACUAGUCCAUUCCCUGCCCGCGCGAGGUUGCCGUCCAUUCGUUCCUUCGUAUUUAUUGAGCGCUCGCUGCGCGCAGAGCGCUGGACUGAGCACUUGGUUGAGUAGAGGAGAACAGUAAGCAGCCACAUUCCCUGCCCACAACGAGCUUUUCACUCCACGGCGCGGAAACGAGGGCGGGCAGAGUUAUCCGAACGAGUCACUGCCUGCCGUGCGGUCGGUCCGGCGUGAUAAUAGUGUCGAUAUCUGUUAAGCGCUUACUGUGCGCUCAGCACCGUUCUAAGCGCCGGGGCGGAUACAGAGUCGUCAGGUUGUCCCGCGUGAGGCUCCAUCCCCAUUUGACGGAUGGGGUCACCGAGGCUCCGAGAAGUGAAGCGACUUGCCCGGAGCCGGCAUCAGAACCCAUGACCUCCGACCCCUAAGCCCGGGCUCCUUCCACUGAGACACGCCGCGUCGUACCUAUUGAGCUCUUACCGUGUGCAGAGCACCGUGCUGAGCGGUCGGGGCAGUACGGUGGAGCCCGCUCCCUGCCCUCCCGGAGCCGGGAGUCACCAAGGGGCGAGGUGACGGGGAAGCGCUGGGCUGGCGGGAGUGACGGGGAGAAGGGGCAGGCGAGGAGAUGAAAGGC